rnacentral:misc_RNA from 2 species
UAACCACUCAAGCCUAGCUUGGUGUUGGGGUACGCGGUCUCGCGACCCCUAAAGUCAGUGGCGGCGCCAUCUGGCUCUAAGCGUAGUAAUCUUACCCUCGCUAUAGAGUCUCGGUGGAUGCUUGCCAGAACCCCCUAAUCUUUAC